rnacentral:rRNA from 1 species
AGAAUUCCCCCAGUAACGGCGAGUGAAAUAGGAACAGUCCAGCGCCGAAUCUUCCGUUCGUCGGAACGGUGAGAACUGUGGCGUGAAGGAAAACACUAUUCGGUCGUUUCGUCCUUUCUCAAGUUCGUUUGAUCGCGGCCAAUACCUAAGGAGGGUGCGAGGCCCGUGCACGACAGGACGAGCGGUCGAUUCGUUUUCCUCAGAGUCGGGUUGCUCGGGAUUGCAGCCUAAAUCGGGUGGUAAACUCCAUCUAAGACUAAAUAUUAGCACGAAACCGAUAGCGAACAAGUACCGUGAGGGAAAGUUGAAAAGAACUUUGAAGAGAGAGUUCAAAAGUACGUGAAACCGCUUAAAGGUAAGCGGAAGAGCUCGAAAAGGAGGUGCGCGGUUCAGUCGUCGUAGUACCGUACUCCGGUUCCGAGGAGAAAGGCCGUUCGCGGUCCUCCCUCGGGGUCGAUUUAAGCAGUGCUGCACGAUGCAUUCCGCGCGCAAUCACUAUCGCGACCGAUCGCUGGUGCAUUUCCCUCGUGACGCGGGAACCGAUUUUCUUAAGGCUUCACAAGUCACGGUAGGGUGAAUUCUUGCUGGCGAUCGAUUGAUCAGACGGUAGCCCUUUUAUGGGCGUGCUUACGGUGAUGCGGACGCUUUCCCGAUGCGAUUUGAUGUGACGGUUCGCCGUCGUCGGUCGUUGAAGGAGUCGUCGGUCAUCGGGGUACCACCCGUCGCUUGGUCCGCGAUUUUAAUAUUCGACGCUUUUCCGACCCGUCUUGAAACACGGACCAAGGAGUCUAACAGGUACGCGAAUCUCCGGGAUUCUAUCGAAACCCAGGGGUGUAACGAAAGUAAAGGAUUUCUCACGAAAUCCGAGGAAAGAUACCGGCUUCGGUCGGUCGCAUUUCCGUUCUGUCGUAAUCGGAGAAAUCGCGAUGCGAUGGAAAAAGAGCGUACACGUUGGGACCCGAAAGAUGGUGAACUAUGCCUGGGAAGGAUGAAGCCAGAGGAAACUCUGGUGGAGGUCCGAAGCGGUUCUGACGUGCAAUCGAUCGUC